CCCUUAGAUGUUCUGGGCCGCACGCGUGCUACACUGAGUGGAUCAGCGGGUCAGGUUGCGCGAAAGCGUUUCCUAAUCUUUAAAUCCGCUCGUGAUGGGGAUUGACGGUUGCAAUUUUCUGUCAUGAACGAGGAAUACCUUGUAAGCGCGGGUCAUCAUCCCGCGCUGAAUACGUCCCUGCCCUUUGUACACACCGCCCGUCGCUCCUACCGAUUGAGUGGUCCGGUGAGGCUUUGGGAUCUGAGCGGUAAGAGCGUUUCGCUGUUUCUGCUCGGAAAACUCAGUCGAACCUUAUCAUUUAGAGGAAGGAGAAGUCGUAACA
rnacentral:rRNA from 1 species